rnacentral:lncRNA from 1 species
UAGUGUAAAUCUUGAGAUAGUGCUAUCCAAAGAAUUUGAAUGUCAAAAAUGCUACCCUAACUUCUGCAAGUUGAAAGAAAGAAACAAAUAAGGGUUUAAAGGAUUUAAAUGGGAAAAAAUAAAUAAAUAAAUUAUCUAACUUGAGAUAACGGAAGAAUUUGACAAUUACAUCCAUAAAUCUAACACUCGAAUUUUGAGUUAAAUUUUCAUCACCUUAUUUGCCAUACAAAAGAAAAAAGAAACUUAUGAGCUAAGCAAAAGAGGUAGUUGUCAUUUCAGAGGUGAUUUAUACUGUUAAUGUACACUAAAAAAAGGGGGGAGAAACAUAAUGAUUAGAAAAAAAUGGAUGUGGGUUUUGGGAAACAAGUUGAAGGAGAUGACUGAAAAUGCAAUAAUGAAAAAAAAAAAGAGAAAAAAAGAAAAAAAAAAAGAAAGAAAGAAAGCCCAAAAAUUACCAUUGUUUUGCGUGUAAAGUCAUACGGACCUGGCAUCCAAAGCUGCAGGGAAGGGUCCCUUUUUCACUUGUUCAAGUAUUUUCCAAAAACACCCCUUCUUCACUUCUUGUUACCUUCUUCUUCUUCUUCCUCUUCUUCUUCUUCUUCUUCCUGUGACUGUCUCUUUUCUUUUGUGGUAAAACUUUAAAAAGGCCUUAUCUGCCUUCUAGACUUGUUUUUUUUACCUUCUUGUUUGUAUUCUUAAGUUGUUUGUUUAUGACUGCAGCAUCUACUUUCAGUUGUUUCUUCUGUUGGCUUCCUCCUGUUUGUAUGUUUUUAAAUAUCAACUUCAAAUUUUGAGAAAGAUUGAGAUUUACCCUCUAUUUUACUUCCUUUUUU